AAGACUAUACUUUCAGGGAUCAUUUCCAUAGUCUGUGAAGAAUGCAGUAUUUUAUGAUUCACUAUUGUUCAUAGUUCUUUGAGGUUGAGUCACUUCAAAGAAC
ensembl:snoRNA U3 Small nucleolar RNA U3